rnacentral:rRNA from 1 species
GUCUGGUUGAUCCUGCCGGACCUGACUGCUAUCAGAGUGGGACUAAGCCAUGCGAGUCAACGCCGCAAGGCGUGGCAUACGGCUCAGUAACACGUAGUCAACAUGCCCAGGGGACGUGGAUAACCUCGGGAAACUGAGGAUAAACCGCGAUAGGCCAAGAUUUCUGGAAAUGGAUCAUGGCUGAAAUCUACAUGGCCCCUGGAUUGACUGCGGCCGAUCAGGCUGUUGGUGAGGUAAUGGCCCACCAAACCUAUAACCGGUACGGGCUUUGAGAGAAGGAGCCCGGAGAUGGCACUGAGACAAGGGCCCAGGCCCUAUGGGGCGCAGCAGGCGCGAAAACUCUGCAAUAGGCGAAAGCUUGACAGGGUUACUCUGAGUGAUGUCCGUUAAGGGCAUCUUUUGGUACCUCUAAAAAUGGUGCAGAAUAAGGGGUGGGCAAGUCUGGUGUCAGCCGCCGCGGUAAUACCAGCACCCCGAGUGGUCGGGACGAUUAUUGGGCCUAAAGCAUCCGUAGCUUGUCCUGCAAGUCUUCCGUUAAAUCCACCUGCUCAACAGAUGGGCUGCGGAGGAUACUACAGGGCUAGGAGGCGGGAGAGGCAAGCGGUACUCAGUGGGUAGGGGUAAAAUCCUCUGAUCCACUGAAGACCACCAGUGGCGAAGGCGGCUUGCCAGAACGCGCUCGACGGUGAGGGAUGAAAGCUGGGGGAGCAAACCGGAUUAGAUACCCGGGUAGUCCCAGCUGUAAACGAUGCAGACUCGGUGAUGGGUUGGCUUCGAGCCAACCCAGUGCCGCAGGGAAGCCGUUAAGUCUGCCGCCUGGGGAGUACGGUCGCAAGACUGAAACUUAAAGGAAUUGGCGGGGGAGCACC